CAGGUCAGCUGAUCACAUGGUCCAAAUUAAAGUCCUCCUGGAGCUCAGUGCACUGGAUCCAGCUCUAACUCCAGAUGAUGAUGAUGAUGAUGAUGAUGAUGAUGAUGACGACGGUCAAACUCUUGGUUAAUAUGAAGGCUGUCAGGAGCCUCGUUAAGAAUCAUCAUAACUCUGCUGCUCCCUCUCUGCAGGUUCUGUAUUCAGCUGACAUGAUGCUGCUGCUCAUCUUCGUCUCCAGCUGUGUGGGUGGAGCAGCAGCAGAGGUGGAGGCUGAGGAUGGUGUGGAUGAUCAGGAGCUUCACUCUGAAUCCUGACCUCCUCCUUGUGCUUCAGUGACUUCUGCCUCCAUAAUUUGGUCACCAUGGCGACCAGCUGGAUGAUUGGAGUCCCUCCUCUCACUUUCUGAGUGCGAUGCAGAGCUGCUUCUUACUGAAACCCGACCCUGCAGAGCACUGAGGGCGUCCUGUCCAGCUUCAGGACCACCUGGCAGGAGUUUGUGGAGGACGAUGGCUUCUGGAGGGUCCUGCUGCUGCUGUGGGUCAUCGCCCUCCUCUCCCUGGGGCCUCGCCUACUAUGUCAGCAGAGUCCUGCCUUUCUCAGGGUGGAGAGGAGGCAGUAAAAUAAAUGAAGAUCUUUAUGUAGAACAAAAACUCUGGUAUUUAUUUGUUGUGCAAGUCUGAUCAUUUUAUUGGAAUAUGA